rnacentral:rRNA from 1 species
GAUCAUGGCUCAGGACGAACGCUGGCGGCGCGCCUAACACAUGCAAGUCGAACGGAGUUAUUUUGGCAGAAGCCUUCGGGCAGACGCUGAUAUAACUUAGUGGCGAACGGGUGAGUAACACGUGAGCAACCUGCCCUUCAGAGGGGGACGAACAGUUGGAACGACUGCUAAUACCGCAUAAGACCACGGUGUGGCAUCACACAGAGGUCAAAGGAGAAAUCCGCUGAAGGAUGGG